CCAUGGACAGAGGUGCCUGGCAGGCUACAGUCCAUGUGGGGUGGCACAGUAACCCACUCAGUACUCUUGCCUGGAGAAUCCCAUGGACUAAGGAGCCUGGCAGGCUACAGUCUACAGGGUCGCAAGGAGUGGGACCCGACUGAAGCGAUUAACAC